GACGAACGCUGGCGGCGUGCUUAACACAUGCAAGUCGAACGGAAAGGCCCUGCUUUUGUGGGGUGCUCGAGUGGCGAACGGGUGAGUAACACGUGAGUAACCUGCCCUUGACUUUGGGAUAACUUCAGGAAACUGGGGCUAAUACCGGAUAGGAGCUCCUGCUGCAUGGUGGGGGUUGGAAAGUUUCGGCGGUUGGGGAUGGACUCGCGGCUUAUCAGCUUGUUGGUGGGGUAGUGGCUUACCAAGGCUUUGACGGGUAGCCGGCCUGAGAGGGUGACCGGCCACAUUGGGACUGAGCUACGGCCCAGACUCCUACGGGAGGCAGCAGUGGGGAAUAUUGCCCAAUGGGCGGAAGCCUGAUGCAGCAACGCCGCGUGCGGGAUGACGGCCUUCGGGUUGUAAACCGCUUUCGCCUGUGACGAAGCGUGAGUGACGGUAAUGGGUAAAGAAGCACCGGCUAACUACGUG
rnacentral:rRNA from 1 species